rnacentral:rRNA from 1 species
AUGAACCCAUCGUCCGCCCCUGGCCCCGGCGGCCUACCAGUGAAGUUCUUCCAGACCUUCUGGACUGUCAUCAAACCGGAGGUCAUGGCCCUCUUUGAGGAGUUCUAUGUGGGCACCAUUGACCUCCACCGUCUUAACUACGGGAUCAUCACAUUGAUCCCCAAGGUGCCUGGAGCCUCGGACAUUCGUCAGUUCAGGCCGAUCACGGUGAUUAAUGUGAUCUUUCGCAUUCUGGCAAAGGGGUACACCAAUAGGGUGGCCCCUUUGGCCGACCGCAUCACCCACCCUGACCAGUCCGCCUUCAUCCAAGGCCGGUAUAUUCUGGACGGGGUUCUUGUCUUCCAUGAAGUUUUGCACGAGGUCCGGUCCAAAAACCUCAAAGCAGUCUUCCUGAAAAUUGACUUCCACAAAGCCUAUGACACGUUUAGCUGGACCUUCCUUCAGGAAGUGUUGCUUAGGAAAGGGUUCGACGAUCGCUGGGUCGCCCAGGUUAUGCAGAUGGUUACCUUUGGGCACACCGCGGUUAACAUUAAUGGAGAGAUCGGUCCCUAUUUCCCCACCCUAUGUGGGGUUAGACAGGGUGACCCCUUCUCUCCAUUUCUGUUCAACAUGGUGGUUGAUGCCUUG